rnacentral:tRNA from 1 species
GAGGGUAUAGCUCAAUGGUAGAGUGUGUGUUUGCAUGCACGAGGUCUUGGGUUAAAUCCCCAGUAACUCCA